rnacentral:lncRNA from 1 species
UUAUCACACUCUAGUGAUCAAAAAGCUCAAGCCAUGUUGAAUUGUCCUUAAAAGAAAAAAUACAAUAGUUAUUGACAAAGAAAGGUCAAGCCAUGUUGAAUUGUCCUUAAAAGAAAAAAUACAAUAGUUAUUGACAAAGAAAGGUCAAGCCAAAAAAUUUAGAACUGAGUAACUUAGAAAAUUGAUGCUCUUAAAGUUAGCAACUAAUCAAACCUUUACUGCUAACAAGUAGUAACCUAAUAAAAUCCCAAAUUUAAACACCACAUGUGUCAACAGAUCGACCAAAACAAAACCUCAC